rnacentral:rRNA from 1 species
GUGAGGAAUCUUCCACAAUGGCGAAAGCCUGAUGGAGCAACGCCGCGUGAAGGAUGAAGGUCUUCGGAUUGUAAACUUCUUUUAUGAGUGAAGAAUAUGACGGUAACUCAUGAAUAAGCACCGGCUAACUACGUGCCAGCAGCAGCGGUCAUACGUAGGGUGCAAGCAUUAUCCGGAGUGACUGGGCGUAAAGAGUUGCGUAGGCGGUUAUGUAAGCGAAUAGUGAAACCUGGUGGCUCAACCACACAGACUAUUAUUCGAACUGCAUAACUCGAGAAUGGUAGAGGUAACUGGAAUUUCUUGUGUAGUAGUGAAAUCCGUAGAUAUAAGAAGGAACACCAAUGGCGUAGGCAGGUUACUGGGCCAUUUCUGACGCUAAGGCACGAAAGCGUGGGGAGCGAACCGGAUUAGAUACCCGAGUAGUCC